UACGGAGGGAGCUAGCGUUGUUCGGAUUCAUUGGGCGUAAAGGGUGCGUAGGUGGCAUGGUAAGUCGGAUGUGAAAUCCCGGGGCUCAACCCCGGAACUGCAUUCGAUACUGCUGCGCUAGAGUACUGGAGAGGAGAUUGGAAUUUACGGUGUAGCAGUGAAAUGCGUAGAUAUCGUAAGGAAGACCAGUGGCGAAGGCGGAUCUCUGGACAGUUACUGACACCGAGGCACGAAGGCCAGGGGAGCAAACGGG
rnacentral:rRNA from 1 species